rnacentral:rRNA from 1 species
CUGGAACGCGCCCCAGGCGCACCCAGAAACCCUUUGUGAACUUAUACCUUACUGUUGCCUCGGCGCUAGCUGGUCCUUCGGGGCCCCUCACCCUCGGGUGUUGAGACAGCCCGCCGGCGGCCAACCUAACUCUUGUUUUUACACUGAAACUCUGAGAAUAAAACAUAAAUGAAUCAAAACUUUCAACAACGGAUCUCUUGGUUCUGGCAUCGAUGAAGAACGCAGCGAAAUGCGAUAAGUAAUGUGAAUUGCAGAAUUCAGUGAAUCAUCGAAUCUUUGAACGCACAUUGCGCCCUCUGGUAUUCCGGAGGGCAUGCCUGUUCGAGCGUCAUUUCAACCCUCAAGCCUGGCUUGGUGAUGGGGCACUGCUUCUUACCCGAGAAGCAGGCCCUGAAAUUCAGUGGCGAGCUCGCCAGGACCCCGAGCGCAGUAGUUAAACCCUCGCUCUGGAAGGCCCUGGCGGUGCCCUGCCGUUAAACCCCCAACUUCUGAAAAU